AUUUAAAUCAUGUCCUAAUAUUCGACUUGUUUCUAUUGAUGACGGAACUGGGACGUAUCGAAAGGAGUACUUUACUUUAAAACCUUAGUGAUGCAUGUUUUUACAGUCGGGUAUGUAAAGAUUAGGAAAAACGCGUCCUGCUUUAUAACCACAAUGGCACAUGAGUAGUCACCCUUUACUAUUCACAUGGUAAUAAGAGGGUAUGUAAUGUUAGGACAAAAUUAUUUUAACAAACGGUUAUGUUACGUUAACAAAUCCAAUUAUGGAUGGAAAAGAGAAAUCUAUUGUUCCAGAUUCGGCAGGAAAACGACGAAAGGACAACUCAAGUAGUGAUCUGGAAAUAUCUGAACGCGAACCAUUGAUAGCUACAGAAGACGAUGAUAUAGGUUACCGUAAAUAUCAUAGACUAGAGAUUGACAGAACAUGGCGGCAUCUGCUUAUUGGACCAGUACUAUUUGUAUACAUAUUUGCAAUGAUUUGUUCUUAUUACGCGCUGGUAGAAUACACGAAGGAAUAUUUCAGGGAAAUUGAAUAUGAAGAAGCAAAUUUGUCUCUUGGAAACGAUUCUUAUGAUCGCUGUAAUGCGGAUGAAGAUGACAUCAUUUAUAAAACUGAGACAAAAGCAACUUCAACGGCAGCUAACUGGAAUUUAUAUUAUGCUGUGGCAGCCGGGGUCCCUUCUAUAAUCUCAAACAUGAUAUUGGGUUCAUAUACCGACGCACUUGGACGGAAGUUUUUACUCGCGAUAGGAAUCGCCGGAAGUUGUCUGCGUUUAGGCAUAGCUGCAAUAACCAUUCAUUUCGAUGCCAACAUUGCAUACUUACUGAUAGCCUGCUUUGUAGAAGGAUGUACCGGCCAGUACGCAACAGCACUGCAAGCCUCGUUUGCAUAUGCAGCAGAUAUAACAAAGCCAGGGAGAUCAAGAAUCUUAGGGAUAGUGGUCAUAGAGUUUUGUCUCGGUGUUGGAAUGUCGUCUGCUAGCUUUGUGGAAGGUUAUCUAGUCGAGUGGAAGGGAUAUAUGGUUACAUUCAGUGCUAUGGCAAUUAUUCUAGUCUUUACAUUUUUGUUUAUGGUCUUUCUUUUACCAGAAACGCUUACAAAAGCACAUAGACGCAGGGACAAAUCUUGUGUCGAUUUACUUAAAAUAAGUUCAUCAUUAUUUAUAAAUAAUGAUUCAGAAAAUAGACGAUGGAAAUAUCAGAUUGUCAUACUAAUGCAUGCUUUAGUAAAUAUAAGUUUUCAUGCCCGCUUACCAACAGAAACGCUGUAUCAGCUUGCGCCGCCAUUCUGCUGGAGUAUAACCAAAGUAGGCGUGUAUGCGGCAAUAAGGACAUUGGCGUACAUGUGUAUUGGUCUUACAUCUGUUAGGAUAUUUCAGUUAUGUCUUGAUGAGGUAUGGAUUUGUAUGAUUGGCACUGUCUCGUACACUGCCGCCUUCUUCUGGACGGCGUUUGUCACGGAUGAUAUUGCGUAUUACAGCACAAUGUGGACAUUCUGUCACUUCAGUUAUAGCAGUUGGAUGUUUUGGACCGCUGUCGGUUACAAUGCACCGAAGUAUCCUGUCUCAUUUAACCCCUCCAGAAAAACAAGGAGCUAUAUUCAGUGCUAUAGGUACACAGGAAGUUGUAUCGCACCUCCUGUCUAAUGUUAUCACAAGCUCAGUCUAUGCAGAGACAGUUUCCUAUAUGCGGGGCCUCGUGUUCCUUGUGCUGGGAGGAUUUGAUGCAGUCUCCAUAAUUCUCACACUUUUCCUGAAGAUCGGAUGGUACAGGGAGAAAAAGGCAGAUAAACGUCAAUCAACUUCACAGACGGAAAUAAUUGUUUCGGUACCGGCUUCACAACAGGAAGUGUAGAAGAACAAUUGAUUGAUCAGAAAACCGUUUCUUCGGUUGUUUUAUUAGCUAGUGUCUCGCUGUAAUGAGACAUAUUUUGACCACCGUGAGAAGUUCGGUUUAUGAUAGCCCUUUCAUGGGCACUUGAACUUGCUCCCAAUUUAUCAUUCUUAAACGAAAAUGAUAUGCAAGUGUUUUGUUCUACAUGACUUUUGUUUCAUAUCUUGUUAAACAAUAUAAAUACCUAUAUUUCUUCUAGGAAAAAAACUCAAAAACUCAUUUUAUUAUUUGUAUUAAGAAAAUUAGUUGCUGCUGCUUAAACUUCGGUGUUGUAAGGUUGAGUUUUCAAAGUUAUGACGAGUUUUUUUAUCAGGCAUUAAAUUAAAUAGAACUAAGUUUCUGUUCAGCUGAACAAACUAUUGUACGGAAGCAAUGUUAACUGUUUAUGACAGUAUAAGCUACAAGAGCAAAUGCGUUUGCGGCGUUACGGACAUGACAGCCUUACAUGACAGUUUGUUUUUGCCUCUUAAAAGAAGACGACUUUUCUUUAUUUAGCAGUUGUGGAAACAGAGAAAUUUUAAAUAGUCUUUCAUUUUCUGUUGAAUAACCAUUAUACAUUUGUGUAAAUCGUAUGAGAAAUUUGAUAACUUUGUUGAUAUCAAUAAAAUG
rnacentral:misc_RNA from 1 species